rnacentral:rRNA from 1 species
AUUGAACGCUGGCGGCAUGCCUUACACAUGCAAGUCGAACGGCAGCGGGGACUUCGGUCCGCCGGCGAGUGGCGAACGGGUGAGUAAUGUAUCGGAACGUACCAUUCAGUGGGGGAUAACUAUCCGAAAGGAUAGCUAAUACCGCAUAUUCUGUGAGCAGGAAAGUAGGGGAUCGCAAGACCUUGCGCUGAUUGAGCGGCCGAUAUCAGAUUAGCUAGUUGGUGAGUUAAAGGCUCACCAAGGCGACGAUAUGUAGCGGGUCUGAGAGGAUGAUCCGCCACACUGGAACUGAGACACGGUCCAGACUCCUACGGGAGGCAGCAGUGGGGAAUUUUGGACAAUGGGGGCAACCCUGAUCCAGCCAUGCCGCGUGAGUGAAGAAGGCCUUCGGGUUGUAAAGCUCUUUCGGCCGGGAAAAAAUCGCAUGGGUUAAUACCCUGUGUGGAUGAUGGUACCGGAAUAAGAAGCACCGGCUAACUACGUGCCAGCCGCCGCGGUAA